rfam:Camelus ferus unplaced genomic scaffold scaffold1389, whole genome shotgun sequence.
GGGGGUGUAGCUCAGUGGUAGAGUGCAUGCUUAGCACGCACAAGGUCCUAAGUUCAAUCCCCAGUACCUCCA